rnacentral:SRP_RNA from 1 species
AGUCGGGUAAGUCCUAUACGACCAGCUCCCUUUGAACUCCCCCAGGGCCUGACCGCAGCAAGGGUAGAAGGUUGUAGCGGUGCGAUAUAGCAAGCUUACCCUC